AAAAGAAAGUUAUAGUUCAUAAAUACCCAACCGUAUCCCUUUUACAGGAGUCAGUGUACCAAAUUCAUAUUAAGAUAACAAUCACCAUCAUCAUCCAGCUGAGUCCCACCAAACACGUGAAAGAAAUCAGUCACUUGGAGCCACACACAUACUCAAGACCUUCAACAGUAGUUCCACCUUCACACUAAAUUGCCUGCAUACCACUGUUUAUAUUCCCAGUGCUUUGUGGCUCAGGACUGAAGCACACUAGGUACACUUUAGGCCUGGUUUGGCUUUUUUUUAUUAAGGGACACUGAUUUUGUUAAAAGAUCCUGUUACAGAGUUCCCACUUAAGAGUGGAAAAGGCUGUUCAGAGAAGCUGUGGAUGCCCCCAUCCCUAGAACUGUUCAGAGACAGGUGGGAUUGGACUUUAAACAACUGCAUGUCCCUCCACACAGCAGAGGAUAGGACACAGGAUCUUUAUGAUCCCUAGAAACUCAAACCAUUCUGAGAUUCCAAAAUUCUCUUAUUAAUUCUACCCCAAGCAUACAGGUGCAGAAGUGCAAAGUUCACUUAAAUUUAUUAUGUUUACACAGUGCCAACAGUUCAGACAAAUGAGGCUUUAUACAGCUCAAACCUUUAAUUAAUCCAUACGUUUAAUUAAAUCACGGCUCCUCUGUGCCCAUUAUACUAUUUCUAUAAAAAAGUAUCUUAAAUAUCUACAUUUUAACACAUCAUCCCAACACCUCUGAAAGAGUAACUCAGCAAAGCAGAACUUGAUUUCUUACAACAGCAAUACCAGGAGGUAUUUACAUAAGUUAGCACAAACUUUAUAAAACCUUUCUUAUUCAGCUCUUUGAAAGAUCAUCUAAAAAUCUGGCUAGCAAUGGCUUAUAUGUUUUAUUAAGUUUGUAUGGCUGCAUUUAUUUGUUCAAAGCUGCUGUUUUUGCUUCUUCCUACAAGGUGCAUUUACCCAUACCAGACAGUCUCUGAUUAGCAAAAAAUUAAAGAGACAGUCAUUCAUUCUUGUUUUUACCAUUUUGACCAUCUCAUUAAGAUACAACAUCUAGAGAUAAACGAUAACAGUGCUAUGAUGCAUCAGGAAAUUAUUACAUUUGAUCUGGGGCAGUUGUGCCCACCACAUUGCUGACCAGAAGGGCCAAAGAGCACACAGCACCAGUACCAUUCUGCACAGUGCUUGCCAGAUGAAACAAUUGAUUCACCUGAGGAGUUCAAGGCUUUGUCAAAUAUUCAGUCUAUGCCAAGUGAGAUGAGUUUGCCAUUGCAAAUACAUGCUCUGGACCCAGCUUAGGCUGUACAGUAUAAAGGUCGUGGAUUCUAUGCUUUACAGGUGAAUAAACCAUACUACAAAAAUAUUGAGUGAUUUACACUACUCUGGAUAGAACAAAAAAACUGUAUUCCUGCUAUUAGCCUUAAAUAUGCUAAUAUUUAUCAUUUUCUACAGUUCUGAAAAACUGAAUAGGUUUCUCAAUAUAGAACAGAUGUUUAGUGUAAAAUAAGCAUUAGCUGAAGGGAAUCCUAAUGUACAAUGACAUGACACCACUAAGGAAGGGAAACAAGUAAAAGGUUGCAGAUGGCUAGAAAAGAAGCUCUAAUUUUCAUCUGGUACUUGGAUAAAAACUGUUGUUAAAAGAUUCAGCCAAAAAUGGCUUUGUUUGGUUAACUGGCCCAUGGCUAGUGCCUUUUCAAAUGUUACAAUACAGAUACCACCAUAAGAGCUGUAAUAAGUCUCUAAGCACAUAAUCAGCACCCAGCAUUGCAUGUUUGUAUAGAAUUUAUUCUGCAACGAAGAAAAGCUUGACUCAGCUGUAGAGAAACCAAAAAACUACACAGUUUUACAUGCCCCUAUUAAUCUCUCACUCAUUCUGGCUAAGAGAUGUUUCCAGUCCAUACUGACUGCACCAAAGAACUUCAGGCACUACAAACUCUGGGGAGCCAUCCAGCAGCUCUCAGAUCAAGCACCAGCCACAGCAUAUUAGGGGGGUGGUCGACAUCUCCUGUGUGCUAUGGUCAACAGAUCACAAAAGUAAGGGCUUGCUUAACUCUUUCAUCUUGCUUGCACCCAUAACAUUCACUCCUUCUAAAAGGCAAUCUUACCUGCAGGCUGCUAAUUAGAUUCUUUUACAAAUAAUUGUGCACAGUAAGCUUGCUUUUUAUAUUGUCUUUAUAAAUAAGAUCAAUAGCAUUAUUUCAUGUCUUCUAGUCUGACAACGUCUUUUCCACAGCAAAGGGGAACUUCAAUAACACUAUAAAAUUCAGGAUAGUAAUAUGUAUGUAAAGUGUGCUGCAAUAAUUUUUUAUGGUAUAGAGAAUUUUAAGGGACAAGACUUCUCUUUGUUGUUUUGGACUAACAUAUAUAGAUUCUACUGCAUAACAUAGUAGUAACAGUCCUUUCCAGCAGACCAGAAAAGAACACUGUCUUCCCACAGGGCUGUCACACACAGCAAUGCUGUCAGUCACAGCAAUCUGAGGGGUCAAACUCUUUCUGGGUUUGUUAAAGUCACUGCAUAAACCUCGUGCCUUAUUUUUCCUUCCUUUUAAUACUAUAUGAGCAGAUUAUUUUUCUCACACUUUUAAAAACAUUUUUAAGACUAAAACUGCUUACAUGCCUCGGUGUAAGCAGAUAUUGGACUGAGGACAAAAACAGUUCACUGAUUUCUGGACAGCCACUGUGUAAAUCAGGACUGCACAUUCAAGCUCUUCAUGCAAAAGCAGCACAAUUCUACGAAAGAGCAGGAUCAGCACCUCGAAAGGAAAAACCUAAAGCCCCAGCUCCCCCACCAGCAACCAAGUCAGCAUGACAUUUUCCCACCUACGUUGAUGUGUGGGGAAAAGAGACAGGGUGGAAGGGGGAGGGGGGAGGAAACAUGUUAGCAUGGGAGAAGUCUUUCUUUGGAAAAAAGUGAAGAAAUCAAAAGCAGUUUGGUCAAAAAGACAACAAUAUCUGAAAACACUGCAAAAAAGCUUAAAGUACAAAAGUGAGACCAAGAAAACUUCAGAUGAAUGUCAAGCAGCACACUGACAUAAUCAAUGCUUGAAGUACUGAGAUUGCAUCAACCCACAACAUUUAAAAACUGUACAUUAGAACCAAAACUUGGCAAAAGAUAUCAGGAUAAAAAACAGGAGUGAAGUGACAAUGACGGAAGAAACAGGAAAAAUACUGCAUACUCAUUCCCACACCUGAAAACUGCAGCUGGAAUAAAAUAGUACAUUCUAAUGCUCCGAUGUUAAAACUCCCUAAAGGAAGUUAUUCAGCCCUAGUUUCUGCAUUCUUCUCUCCUGAGGUUCAGUUCUGUGCACACACACAAAGAAACUUUGAAUUAGUUGACCAGCACUUCAGAGAUCAAGCCCCCCUCUGUGUUCUUACCACAGACCUGAGCUGAAGUAGUAAGCAAAAUAAGAACUACUAGCAUAUAGAAUAGUACUAUUGAAAGCAUUAAGUUGUCUGGAAACAGAGAGAUACACAGAAGUUUUUUCUUGCACCGAAGUUUCACAAGCUAGAAACGAAGAUAUAUAGAAAAGGAUUUUUUUAAUUACACCAUAUUUCAGCCUUACUGACAAGCUAAUUCCUUUUGUUCCACUCAAGAAAGGCUAGCAAAAUGUACAUUUUUGGGUAAUUAAUGAGCUGAAAAAGCACUUGAUGUCAAAACCAACUUAGAAGUAAUGAAAAUUGAUUAUUUUCUUCCAUUUCUGUUUCAUGUAAAAAAAAAAUUAAGAUUUUAAUAAUUUCAGGGUGAUUUUCACAGCCGAAUUUAUAAAACAUAACUAUAAACAAAAGGCUGUAUUUUACCCUCAGUCACUACUUGCGUAAUUAAUUGCCGGACACAUAAAUGAGAUGUCUCCAACAUUAGACUAGAAAUGCAGUAAAGAAUUUUACAAUUAUAUAUACACACAUGUGUGUGUGCUCUUGUGUCCCAUUUAUAUUCUGGCUUUUAAACCAGAUGACUGUUUACCGAUUCUCAUCAGGUUCAGAGUACCUGCUGAAUAUCUGAAAACACAGGAAUCAUGGGUACUUAAACAACUCAAAAGUUUUAGAUAACAAAUUCAGUAACUAGAAGGCAGAUACACUGCUUUACUGCUUUUUAAAAUGAGUUUUCUUCAAGAAAACAACUCAACGAAACUUAUGUGCGUAACUUCCAGCUGCAGUACAGUCCUGCAGGCGUAACAAUUUAGACUUGAAAUCAAAGCAGCACUUCAAAAAGAAAUUUUGUGAAUUAUUUCCGAUUUCUAACAGAACAGCCUUUGACAAGAAACCCCCCAGUCUUCCUUCCUUGGAGCCAUGCCAUUUAACUUUUUUUUCUCUUUUUUUUUUUUUUUUUUACCACCUAAAGAAUGUACAUCCAGCGUGCUGCCCAGAAGUGGCCGUCUACCCCAGGACACCACAGACAGCGGUACAGCUUUACAUUCGAUGUCUACUACUGCAAAUAACCGCGCGUUUCCUCCAGAGGAGACUUGACAUAAACAACAUAGAUUGAAGCACUUUCACUCAGGCACCAAAAACACGGCACUUCUUACUGAUCUGAAGUUACACUUGACAGUUCAUCUCGUUUAAAGAAACGAGCAUCUCUGACUGCUCUGACAGCUCCAGCUCUGACAGCCCUACAAGUACAGACACCCCCACAAGGCUGGCCCAGGGCCCGAUCCCGCAGAAGGUCCGGCGCUCGCCGGCGCACCGCGACAUGGCGCGACUUCGCCUCGGCCACAACGGGCAGGAGAGCAGCGGGCCCUGCUCACCGCCGCCCCGCGCUCUCCCUCACCUCGACGUCCUCCGGGCCCCUCAGGGACGCAUCGCGGCACUGAUUUUGCUGCUGUCGUGUGGAUCCUGCGUAGCCCCCAGCUUGCUACCUGCUGAUCUGAGCUUUCGAGGGCAACAACUUCUGGCAGCAUGCACAGGAAAUUUAUAUGUCUCUCCCCUGCUGACCAAAUUACAGAGAGGAAGCGAAACCAGAAUGUGAAAGUGGCACAUAAAAUAAGGGCAGUUUUCCUGUAAAAGCACUUGCUUUUUGAUAACUACCUGUAAACCCAAAAUUUGUCAUUUUCCUA